rnacentral:pre_miRNA from 1 species
UGUUGAUGAUGACGAUGAUGAUGAUGAUGAUGAUGAUGAUGAUGAUAUUGUUGUCAUCAUCAUCAUCACCAUCAUCAUCAUCAUCAUCAUCAUUA